UCACAACUGGUCCCCCUGGAUUGGACCACAGACACGACGAUCUGACAUUUUGAUAAACACAGAGAGUGAAAAAGUCCACUCGCCUGAUUCCAACAGUGAUGCAGACCAGUUUCUUACAGAAGAGCGGCUUGCAGAUGAGGUUCUCAAUCUCAAGCUACCUGAGAUCAGGAAACUCUGCAGUCAAUGUGGAGUUGACAGCAGAGGUUCUAAGAUGGAUCUUGUGCUCCGUCUGUGGGACAAAAUGGCUUCUAGAGCCACAAAUAACAAGGUUUUUGCUAAAGUGUGGGGUGCCUCUGGUAAGUGUGUUACUGCAAAUUCUAACAAAAAACUUUAAAUUUGUUGCCAUUUUACCCAUAACAAAGUACUGUAACUUUAUGAGCUGAGAAAAAUUUAAUUGA